rnacentral:lncRNA from 1 species
UCUUUUACCUGGUGCUUGACCAAAGGAGCACUUCACACAUGACAUGUCAUUGAGCGAACAUUCAAUUUUCACCCUCUCUGCUUGUCAACCCAGAAAGAGUGUCUUCUCAACACUUAGGGCAAAGAAACUCACUGUAUACAUUGUUAAACUGACUUCUGACUGUUCAAAGAAGGCUUCAGAAGUAACUAGUAACAACUUCUCAAGUCCUUGGUUUCAAUGGCGGUUGUGGUGACUAUAGCUUUGAAGUGGUUGAUCAUCUUCGCUAUUCUUCUGGUUUGGCCCUAUCUGAUUAUCAUCUAUUCCUCAAAAUGAAAAAAACACUUGGCUGGAAACAAGUAUUGCAGUAAUGAUGAUGUCAUAUCUGCUAUCCUGUUGGUUAACAAGAUAAAAGCUUCUUCACCAAUGGGAUCAAAGCACUGCAACACCAAUGGAAGAAGUGCGUGUACUGCAAGGGAGACUAUACUGAAAAAUAAACCUCAUCUGGUCAUAUUCCAUGAGAAUAUAUUGGUCAGCCUAUGAACUUUUCAGCUGACCCUCAUAUUAUCCAAUAUGGCCUUCUCUCUGUAAGAAGCUAGGAUGUAAUAUCAAGGAUAUUUGGAUGCUAUGUUGAGUAGGGCAAGAGAUCAAAUGUUGGCACCACCACUGGCUGGUCAAAAUAGAGGUGAGUCAUUUACACAAAUAGGCAUUUAGUUGCACUAUUAUGCAGUUUUCAAUUGCCUACAAACUUGACCAAAGGACAUACAUUGACUGCUGAUUUUGACACAAGGCCAGCAACUUUGAAUGGAGGAGAAUAGUCAAAACCAUCAACCCCCAAUAUUUAACUGAUAUACUUACAAGCAUCUAUAUAUACAUAUACAUGUAUGCACUAACCCUUUCUUACACACACACAUAUAGACACAUAAAACACAUAUUUGUAUAAUCACUUUUGGAUUAACAUGCAUUUGAAGAUGGAAAGGAAGCUGCCCUCAUGAUCGUUAAGUGUAAGAUAAGGUAUCUGCAUGACAAAGCAGUCCAUGCAUCCUUCUAUUUUUAUUUGAGAAGGUGGUUCUUUCACAUCUAGGUUUAUGAUGCUAUAUAUGAUGAAGCUGUUUAUUUGCUUUGUAUGUUUUAAUGAUGUUGAACCUGAAAGUGUAUUGUCCUGUUACUUUUCACAUUCUUAGUUUUGUGUGCAUGUAUGUGGAUGUUGAGGAUUCU